rnacentral:rRNA from 1 species
GAUGAACGCUGGCGGCGUGCCUAAUACAUGCAAGUCGAGCGAACAGACGAGGAGCUUGCUCCUCUGACGUUAGCGGCGGACGGGUGAGUAACACGUGGAUAACCUACCUAUAAGACUGGGAUAACUUCGGGAAACCGGAGCUAAUACCGGAUAAUAUAUUGAACCGCAUGGUUCAAUAGUGAAAGACGGUUUUGCUGUCACUUAUAGAUGGAUCCGCGCCGCAUUAGCUAGUUGGUAAGGUAACGGCUUACCAAGGCAACGAUGCGUAGCCGACCUGAGAGGUGGGCGGCCCAAACUGAAAGACGACCGCGGCCCAGCCUCCAGGGGGAGGAAGCAGGAGGGAAUUGUCGGUAAGGGCCAAAGGCCUGAAGGACCAACGCGGGGGGGGAGAAGAAGUUUUUCGGAUAUUAAACCUCUGUUAUAAGAAAAAAAAAAAUGUGUAAGAACCUACGCCCGUCUGGACGGUCCCUAACCAGAAACACCCGACUAACUACU